rnacentral:lncRNA from 1 species
UUCCGACUAGAUGACAGGUCAUGGAUAAAACAUCAAACCUCAACAUCAGUCAUAUGAUAAAUUGAUUAGCUCAAGUUCAGUUGUGACUUCUAUAAAAACUCUUUUCCAUCAAUCACACUGCUGUCGCCACAGGCUCUUGGACUUAGCCUCUCAAAUCUCAUAAGACUACUCCUCUCUAUCAAAGUCGAUAGAUGCUAUCUUGAUGCGCACCCCACUCCUACAG